UUCUCCUCCAAUCCAAGAAGCCUGGACUGCAGUCACCAUCUCAACACACCAACCAAGAGAAAGGCGGAUGGCUCAAUUCAAUAUGGAAAAUUGCACAAUAAAAGUUCCAGGACAAGAAGGCAGCAUACUGUGAACGUCAACCUUCAGGGCACCGUCCUGCGCAGAAGACUUUCUACCCUAAGAGGGAUGGCUGACCGCAGACACUCACAACCAGCACAGACGCCUCCAACCUCAAACUAGGCCCUUCACAGUUGCUGCACUUACCCACCUUCCCAGAGUUUUUGUGUGGUAAUGACAACUGUAAAUAUAGUAUAAAGUAAUGUAUCUAGUGUCAUGUGUAAUACAUUGUUUAAAUUGUCCAUUGUCCAUUGCUUCCAUUUCAAUGACAGUAAAUAUUGGUGGACACAAUUUGACUGUGUGGCUUUUUUUUAAUUCAUUCUCUGACUGAAAAUGCAUGGUUACAUAAUUUAUAUAUUCCACAAGACCACAAUCAGAAGAACAUU